AAGACAUAAAAAUUGACACAACCUGCUUUGGGUGCAUGAUUUUGGCUACAUCUCUCCUCAAGUGCUAUUAGAUCAGUAGUGUAGUCAGGCCCACACAAUUAUAAUGAAAUUAAUCUCAUAAGAAGUAUUAUUAGAGAAGCUCAUUCCCAGUCAGCAAACAAAUUUGGCCCAGAUUUGGCAUGCAUCUGGCACAGCUGGCAUUCAUCCGGCACUGGCAUACAGCAUGUGGGCCAAACAUGGCCUGGGUUUGGCAGAGAUGGUACCGGGUUUAAGACGGCACACAAGACAUGGGCCAGAUGUCAAAUGUAGUAUUUGGCCCAGAUGUCAAAUAUAGAUAUAUGGGCCACAUAAGUAUUGCCGAUCUUGACCCACAUUUAAAAUCCAUUUCAAAUAUUUUUGAGUAAAAUGCCAGUUUUCCCAUACAGAAAGGUAAUAUAUUCACAUAAAUGUGAAACUGUUAAAUAUAUUUUGAAAAUGCAUAACAUGAAGCUCAUGUUGUGUGUUAUUAUGUGUUUACUUGUAUGCAAAAUUAUAUUCAUGCCUCAUAUGAUAUUAUAUAAUAUAUGAUAUUAUAUAGUAUAUUAUAGAAUAAUAUAUUCUGUUUUAUAUAUAUAUAUUCAUAUAUUCAUCUGCCAUUCAUCCGGCACUGGCAUACAGCAUGUGGGCCAAACAUGGCCCGGGUUUGGCAGAGGUGGUACCGGGUUUAAGACGGCACACAAGACAUGGGCCAGAUGUCAAAUGUAGUAUUUGGCCCAGAUGUCAAAUAUAGAUAUGUGGGCCACAUAAGUAUUGCCGAUCUUGACCCACAUUUAAAAUCCAUUUCAAAUAUUUUUGUCUAAAAUCCCAAUGUUUUCCCAUACAGAAAGGUAAUAUAUUCACAUAUAUGUGAAACACUGUUAAAUAUAUUGAAAUACAUUUUGAAAAUAUAUUUUUUAAAAUGCGUAACAUAAAGCUCAUAUUGUGUGUUUAAUUGUGUUUACAUGUGAAAUUAUAUUCAUGCCUCAUAUGAUAUUAUAUUGUAUGUUAUAUUAUAGAAUAGUAUAUCCUGUUGUUUUAUUUAUAUACAACUGACUUCAAACAAUGUUUUGCAUUCACUGCUUUAAUAUUCUCAUUCAAUUUACAGUUUGAUGUAGGCCUACUAAACAAUACAUGAUGAAAUUUCAGGACAUUUUAUUUGACUUUUGUACUAUUUAUGUAAAUGCGUAACGUUGAUGUGUUUUAGGCCAUGUUGGCCAAUCAGAAGCCUGACAAAGUUUCAAGUAGGCUCCGACGUCACAAGCCAAAAACUCUGACCUGGUGCAGCGCUUGCGUGAGGACGAACGGCCAAACCGCACAGAAAAAGCUGCUGUUUUGAAAAUAACCGCGUUCCUGUGGACGGCCAAUGAGCGCGCGCCUUGAGCAUUCAAAUCAUAUUUAAACUGGAACGGAGGAGGUUACCGUGGUAACAGGGCGUCAACUCACUCAGCUGACAAGAAGGGAGAGGCUGUCUCUCUGCUGUUUUCACUGCUUUCAGGUAAGUUUAGUCCCUAAAGUUACACAAAUAAUACAUACAACUGUUCCUGACACUUUCUUACAUGUUACUGACACGUUUCUGUUGAAUCUUUACUUUACAGGAGUGGUAUAGUGUCUUCAAAAAGACCGUUAGCAUCACAACCGUUAACUAUAGAGGCUAACAAUUAGAGGAGCAUCAGAAAAAAAUACCUAAAGCAGGGGAAGUUACAAGAAAAUUUGUAAUGAGAGCUGCUGACAGAGAUACAGGAAACGGGUGAUCUGAGAAAUCUUAUUAAAUAACUUUAUAUUAAUUUUUCACAAUAUAUUUCAACUAUAUCAUCAUGCAUCUGUAAAACCUAAAAAUAUGAAUUCUGGUAUCUUAAGAUUUUUUGUAUGUUUUGUGUAUUAUUAUUAUUAUUGAAUUUCACCUCUGCUGCAGUUUGUUUAUUUCUAAUAAUCCUGACAUUAUAUACUACAUUUUGUUGGCUAUGUGACAUAUUGUUCCUAUUCUUCCAUGCUGAUGGCUGUGCUGCAGAGCUGGAGCGUAGCGGAUCUCCUGUGGAAGAACAUCUCCAAAGCGCCAUGAACCAUCUGACUAGGCAGUUUGUGAAGACGGAUAACCUGGACAGAAGUCGGUUCCAGAUCCAGGCUCCACACCAGACUUCUCACUCACAAGGAUUGCUGUCUACUAGAUAUGUGUACUCUUCAGACUUGGGUUCAUACAGAUAUUAUUCAGGGACAUGAACACUUGAAUAUUGCAAAAAUAGAGAAACUACCUUAUUUAAGAAUUUUGUGUUAAUUGCGUGAACAUUAAACAAAUAUAUAUUUAUUUUACUGUUUUUUGUUUUGUAUUCCAAAGCACCUAAAAGCCAAUUCACACUGCCAUACACCAACAGGGUGAACACACUGACCAAGCAAAACAAAUAAGCAUGUUUUUAUAGUUUUUGUGAAAGUGUGAACUGACAAUGCUGUAUGUUAGGUGUGAGAUUCAUUCAACUUGGUUUGCUGAUUAAACAUGAUUAAAUAUUUGUUCAGAAUAUUGUCGUUGUUGUGACUAUUCAUCUGAGAGGGGUGUGUAUCAAGUGGCUUGGUUAUGGUUUUGUUGAGGCUGACAUGUGGAACCCAUCUGGUCCAGCGUAUAGGACCAGAACAGGGCCAGCUAUGGUCAUACAGGACCUCAGAUCCCACAUAGCAAUUUUUCUCUGGCCCAGCUCUGGCCCACACAAUCAG